AGCGAAGCGGGAAGAGCUCAAAUUUAUAAUCUGGCACCUUCGGUGUCCGAGUUGUAAUCUCUAGAAGUGUUUUCCGCGUUGGACCGCACACAAGUCUGUUGGAAUACAGCGGCAUAGUGGUGAGACCCCCGUAUAUGGUGCGGACGCCCAACGCUUUGUGAUACACUUUCGAAGAGUCGAGUUGUUUGGGAAUGCAGCUCAAAUUGGGUGGUAAAUUCCAUCUAAAGCUAAAUAUUGGCGAGAGACCGAUAGCGAACAAGUACCGUGAGGGAAAGAUGAAAAGCACUUUGGAAAGAGAGUUAACAGUACGUGAAAUUGUUGGAAGGGAAACGCUUGAAGUCAGACUUGCUUGCCGAGCAAUCGGUUUGCAGGCCAGCAUCAGUUUUCCGGGGUGGAUAAUGGUAGAGAGAAGGUAGCAGUUUCGGCUGUGUUAUAGCUCUUUGCUGGAUACACCUUGGGGGACUGAGGAACGCAGUGUGCCUUACGGCGGAUUUCUCGAGAUCUUCACACUUAGGAUGCUGGUGGAAUGGCUUUAAACGACCCGUCUUGAAAACGG
rnacentral:rRNA from 1 species